rnacentral:rRNA from 1 species
GCCGUACGUGUAUGUAAGAAGGACCUUCGGGUUGUAAAGUACGUUUACAGUCAGUGAGGUAAGGUGGGUAUGUUAAUAGCAUAUUCAGUUUGACGUUAGCUGCAGAAGAAGCACCGGCUAACUCCGUGCCAGCAGCCGCGGUAAUACGGAGGGUGCGAGCGUUAAUCGGAAUUACUGGGCGUAAAGCGCAUGCAGGUGGUUUGUUAAGUCAGAUGUGAAAGCCCGGGGCUCAACCUCGGAAUUGCAUUUUGAAACUGGCAAACUAGAGUACUGUAGAGGGGGGUAGAAUUUCAGGUGUAGCGGUGAAAUGCGUAGAGAUCUGAAGGAAUACCGGUGGCGAAGGCGGCCCCCCUGGACAGAUACUGACACUCAGAUGCGAAAGCGUGGGGAGCAAACAGGAUUAGAUACCCCUGGUAG